AGAAAUAACAACAUAAAAUAUAGUUGGGGUUUCCCAGCAAGAUUGGUUGUUCACUAUGAGAACUCCAUUAUGUUUGAUUCUGCCCAAAAAGCCACUUCUUGGCAGAAGUCAAAACAAAUUUUUUCCUUAAUGAUGAUAAUGGCAAAAUGUAAAGUCUCAAUAGUUAAAACUUAUUUAUUGCUCUGCUUAAGUUUUUCUUUCCUCCCUACUAUAAAGUAUAGUUAAUUUAGUAUACCUAUCCCCUUCUAUGAUAAAUGCACU